rnacentral:rRNA from 1 species
GGGUAGUCCCAGCUGUAAACGAUGCUCGCUAGGUGUCGGGUGCGGUGCGUCCGUAUUCGGUGCCGUAGGGAAACCGCGAAGCGAGCCGCCUGGGAAGUACGGUCGCAAGGCUGAAACUUAAAGGAAUUGGCGGGGGAGCACUACAACGGGUGGAGCCUGCGGUUUAAUUGGAUUCAACGCCGGAAAACUCACCAGAUCAGACAGCAGUAUGAAGGUCAGGCUGAAGACCUUACCUGAUCCGCUGAGAGGAGGUGCAUGGCCGUCGUCAGUUCGUACUGUGAAGCAUCCUGUUAAGUCAGGUAACGAGCGAGACCCGUGCCUACAGUUGCCAGCAGCUUCGCAAGAAGGAUGGGCACACUGUAGGGACCGCCGUCGCUAAGACGGAGGAAGGCGCGGGCAACGGUAGGUCAGUAUGCCCCGAAUGAUCUGGGCUACACGCGGGGCUACAAUGGUUGGGGACAAUGGGGCACCUACCCCCGAAAGGGGGAUGGGGAAAUCUCCUAAACCUAGCCGUAGUUCGGAUCGAGGACUGUAAC